UACGAAGGGUGCAACCGUUGCUCGGAAUCAUUGGGCGUAAAGCGCACGUAGGCGGCUUCGAAAGUCGGAUGUGAAAUCCCAUGGCUCAACCAUGGACGUGCACCCGAAACUGCGAGGCUUGAGUACUGAAGAGGAUCGCGGAAUUCCCGGUGUAGAGGUGAAAUUCGUAGAUAUCGGGAGGAACACCAGUGGCGAAGGCGGCGAUCUGGGCAGAUACUGACGCUGAGGUGCGAAAGCGUGGGGAGCAAACAGG
rnacentral:rRNA from 1 species